rnacentral:rRNA from 1 species
UACGGAGGGUGCAAGCGUUAUCCGGAUUCACUGGGUUUAAAGGGUGCGUAGGAGGGCAGGUAAGUCAGUGGUGAAAUCUCCGAGCUUAACUUGGAACUGCCGUUGAUACUAUCUGCCUUGAAUAUUGUGGAGGUGAGCGGAAUAUGUCAUGUAGCGGUGAAAUGCUUAGAUAUGACAUAGAACACCAAUUGCGAAGGCAGCUUACUACGGAUAUAUUGACACUGAGGCACGAAAGCGUGGGGAUCAAACAGG